AAAACAUGCUGCUCCUCACUCUCAGCCACGUAUAUCCACACACAGUUAAACCCACGGCUGUACAAAUUAAUGCAGGCUACCCAAAGCCUCUCAUAAGUCUCUGGCAUGUGCAGAGCCAGUCUGUAGAGCGGUGGGUUUCCUCUUGGACCCCCGGAGUUGGUAGGACGGGGAAGGCGGCAGGGGACCGAGCAGUGGAGCUGCUGACUCCGUGGGGCUGAGUGGCUCUGGCCCUGCACCAGGGAAGGGGUUAAACUCCUCUGCUGUAAGCAGAUAAAGGAAGGAACAGAAUCCGGCUGGCCUGGUCUGCACUCCAUACCGAGGUGUCCAUUUCAUCUCAAAGGUCUUUCCUGGCUUCCUUUUAAUUGAAAUUCUUCACCCAAGUCUCACAUUCCUGAUUCUUUCCACUGCAAAGCCAUCAAAACCUUCCAGGAGGCUCCUAGUUUUCCUUGCAAUUCAAUAUGAUUGAUACAGGAUGUGAAAGAUCACUGGAUGUUAUCAACUACAGAUUCUCUCUCCUUGAAGCAGCAAGCUACAGGAUAAAUUGUGGAAUUCACUACUGCACCGCAUUAUUGAAGAAAAUAUUGUAUUUUGAAGAAAGUGCUCUCAAUUGUAAUCACCAAAUGAAAGCUUCCUGUGUGAUGUGCUGUGAGGCAUGAGAGGACUGGGGUCAGUGAGGAGUCUUCCUUGGUCCUUCUGUUUUCCUGUCCUAGAGCAGCAUGGUGCUGGGAGUAUUGCAGAGCCUUCAUCCCUUGGCAAGUCUCACCCCAUCAGACCCGUUACCAAGCUGCUAGUCAUCCAUCUUUAUGAAGCAGGAGCUCAGACACUACAGAAGAUGGACCGUGGAUGCAUUUACAAUUAUAAAGUCUUAGAUGGACUGUGCAAAAUGAGAUGGGACAGGGAGUGACCACUACUAGACACCAGGCCUCACUGGAGUGACAAUUAAUUCAGAGCACCAAGAGAGAGGGAAAUAUCUGACUGGCUGGAGCGGUGGUCUGAUGUGACAUGGCAGGAAGCAUGAUACUAAUGCAAAUCGUUAGUACUUAUUAACUAAUUAAAUUGUUGUAAUGCCCAUAAGGCACUUAACACUUUCCAGGCGCAGAAGAGAGCCCAGUCUCUGCCCUUAGGAGUAGAAGGUCUAAAAAGGUAAACACAGAGGAAUGGUGGAAGAAAAACAAUUAACAUAGAGCACAAAGGGUGUAAUGAGAAGAAGCGCAGGGCUUUGCAGUUACAAUCUAUGUCUGGUUUUGUGAAGAAAGAAAGCCUAUGUGAUUACAAGAACUUUGUGUAUGGGGGAGCAUGCGUGUAUGAUAAUAUGUCUGUCUGGUGCGUGGAUAAUUUUCAACUUCAAGCAAAUUUGAUGGAGGAGAAGCUGUCUCAGAAAUACUUAGUUGUUAAAAUGAGAAGCUGAGGGAAGGGAAG
rnacentral:lncRNA from 1 species